rnacentral:rRNA from 1 species
UUGUCCUACGGGGGGCAGCAGUGGGGAAUAUUGCACAAUGGGGGAAACCCUGAUGCAGCGACGCCGCGUGAGCGAUGAAGUAUUUCGGUAUGUAAAGCUCUAUCAGCAGGGAAGAAAAUGACGGUACCUGACUAAGAAGCCCCGGCUAACUACGUGCCAGCAGCCGCGGUAAUACGUAGGGGGCAAGCGUUAUCCGGAUUUACUGGGUGUAAAGGGAGCGUAGACGGCAAUGCAAGCCAGAUGUGAAAGCCCGGGGAUCAACCCCGGGACUGCCUUUGGAACUGUGUAGCUG